ACAGUUAACUAAUGAAUGCAAUUUUGGCUUCUUUGCAGUUAUCUUGCCCUUAGGACAUAUUUCACUAAAGAUGUACAGUCAAAAUAAUGUGAUUUUCAAGUCACUUGAAAUAAUUCUUUUUACUUUUUUUUUUUUUUGCUUUUUAGGUCCACAUCCUCACAUAUGGAGGUUCCCAGGCUAGAGGUCAAAUUGGAGCUACAGCUGCUGGCCUACACCACAGCCACAGCAGUGUGGGGUCCGAGCCACGUCUGCGACCUACACUACAGCUCACAGCAACGCUGGAUCUUUAACCCACUGAGCAAGUCCGAGAAUUGAACCCACACCCUUAUGGUUCCUAGUUGGAUUUGUUUCCGUUGCGCCAUGAUGGGAACUCCAAUGAUAAGAAUUAUUCUUGAAAUGAUUUCAAGGGGUUUGUAGAGAAUGGCUAUGCUAUCUCUCUAUGUUCUUUGGAGGUUACUGGGGACAUGAAACACUCACAUUGGGUGACCUAUGUUGAUCUCAUCUCCAAAACGAGAAAAAAAAUUUUUUUUUUUUUUUAAUGGCUGCCCCUACAGCACAUGGAAUUCCCAGGUGAUGGGUUGAAUCAGAGCCACAGCUGCUGGCCUAUGCCACCCGGCAUAGCAACGCAGGAUCUGAGCUGUGCCUGCGACCUACACCAUGGCUCAUAGCAACAUUGGAUCCUUAACCCACUGAGCGAGGCCAGGGAUCAAACCCGAGUCCUCAUGGAUCCUAGUCAGGUUUGUUAACUGCUGAGCCAUGAAGGGAACUCAAACUAAAUUUCCACAUCAGGAGUUCCCAUUGUAGCUUGGCUGGUUAAGAACCUGACAUUGUCUAUGUGAGGAUUCGGGUUCAGUCUGUGGCCUUGGCUGUGGCAUUGUCCUGCAGCUACAGCUCUGAUUUGACACCUGGCCUGGGAACUUCUAUUUGCUGUAGCUGCAGCUGUAAAAAGAAAAAAAAAGUUUGUUUUAAAUAAAUAAAUUUUUCACAUCAACUUAAGGACUAUAGGGUUUUAAAUUUCGUUAUUCUUAGUAUUAAAAAAUCCUACAGAUUAUCAGCGCUAAAUUUCCUAAGUAAUAGUAUUAUUUAUGCAAACAGUUGUACUCUCAGGGUUAAUUUAAUUUCAGAUUUCAAUUUAUUCUUUAAAAUUUUUGCAUGUAAAUACAACAUGUACAAAAUAAUGUUAAGUGAUUUAAAUGAUAGUUUUUAUUUUGAAAAUAUUUUGCUAGCCAGAAUUUGCCUUUUGAUAGUCAUGAUGCUCCAGACUUCUUUCUGAGAAUAUUGAGUAUUAGUUUGAGUAUCUCAUAUUUUACCUGAUCCAAAAGCCAGAGGUGGAGCACCAUGAGCAGUGGUAUCAGGCUGCCAAAGUCUCUGACAUUUUCCCAUAUAAAAAACUCAACAUGCUUCAUCAUAUAAGUAAAUUCAGAGGAAACUGAUUUAAUUUAUACCGUUAAUUCCCCUUGCUAGACUAUAGCAGGCAAGUAGGAAAGAUUUGAAAUAGUUCUUUUAAUUUUAAUAUAGGAGAUAUGUUGGAGAGAUACCAGACCUGUAAGGAUGUCUAAACUUUCCAAAUUCAUACGAAAAAGGAAUUCUCAUAGUUGUAAUAAAAAGAAAUUUUCCCUAAAAAAAAAAA
ensembl:lncRNA